GAUGAACGCUGGCGGCGUGCCUAAUACAUGCAAGUCGAGCGAACAGAUGAGGAGCUUGCUCCUCUGACGUUAGCGGCGGACGGGUGAGUAACACGUGGAUAACCUACCUAUAAGACUGGGAUAACUUCGGGAAACCGGAGCUAAUACCGGAUAAUAUAUUGAACCGCAUGGUUCAAUAGUGAAAGACGGUUUUGCUGUCACUUAUAGAUGGAUCCGCGCCGCAUUAGCUAGUUGGUAAGGUAACGGCUUACCAAGGCAACGAUGCGUAGCCGACCUGAGAGGGUGAUCGGCCACACUGGAACUGAGACACGGUCCAGACUCCUACGGGAGGCAGCAGUCGGGAAUCUUCCGCAAUGGGCGAAAGCCUGACGGAGCAACGACGCGUGAGUGAUGAAGGUCUUCGGAUCGUAAAACUCUGUUAUUAGGGAAGAACAAAUGUGUAAGUAACUAUGCACGUCUUGACGGUACCUAAUCAGAAAGCCACGGCUAACUACGUG
rnacentral:rRNA from 1 species